rnacentral:rRNA from 1 species
CAUGGAGGGUGAGAAUCCCGUACGACCAUCAUUGCUUGUGUACGAUACGCUUUCAAAGAGUCAAGUUGUUUGGGAUUGCAGCUUAAAAUGGGAGGUAAAUUUCUCCUAAGGCUAAAUAUUGGCGAGAGACCGAUAGCGAACAAGUACCGUGAGGGAAAGAUGAAAAGCACUUUGAAAAGAGAGUUAAAUAGUACGUGAAAUUGUUGAAAGGGAAACGAUUAAAGCCAGUCGUACCGACGGAGAAUCAACUUUUGGAAUGCGAGUUGGGGUAUUCGAGGAGUUUAAAAGCCUUCGUGUGCUCAUGUAUUCGUGUUUCUUGGGUGCACUUCUUCGUUUUUGGUAGGUUAACAUCAAUUUUGGACGUUGCAAAAUGACUGGGGGAAUGUAGCUUCGAUUUUUCGAAGUGUUAUAGCCCUUGGUAGAUGUGGCGACCGGGAUUGAGGAUUGCAACGAAUGCUUUCGGGCUAUCCUUCUGACCUCUGGUGGUUGCUUUGGGGUCGAAAGCGUGCUUACGACUUCUAAGUUGGCUAUCAAAAGGCUAGAAUGUGAUUAAAUUCGUUAAGGAUGUUGACGUAAUGG